rnacentral:rRNA from 1 species
GAUGAACGCUGGCGGCGUGCCUAAUACAUGCAAGUCGAGCGAACAGACGAGGAGCUUGCUCCUCUGACGUUAGCGGCGGACGGGUGAGUAACACGUGGAUAACCUACCUAUAAGACUGGGAUAACUUCGGGAAACCGGAGCUAAUACCGGAUAACAUGUUGAACCGCAUGGUUCAACAGUGAAAGACGGUCUUGCUGUCACUUAUAGAUGGAUCCGCGCCGCAUUAGCUAGUUGGUAAGGUAACGGCUUACCAAGGCAACGAUGCGUAGCCGACCUGAGAGGGUGAUCGGCCACACUGGAACUGAGACACGGUCCAGACUCCUACGGGAGGCAGCAGUAGGGAAUCUUCCGCAAUGGGCGAAAGCCUGACGGAGCAACGCCGCGUGAGUGAUGAAGGUCUUCGGACCGUAAAACUCUGUUAUUAGGGAAGAACAAAUGUGUAAGUAACUAUGCACGUCUUGACGGUACCUAAUCAGAAAGCCACGGCUAACUACGUG